UAGAGGGUCCCAAGCAGGGUGGACAUAGCCAUUGGAAUCUGGAGGAGGUUGAUGCUUCCAUAUCUCAAGCUGUGGAAGGUAUCUGGGAGAGGACUUGGUAAAGUUUCUGCCAUGCAGAGUUCAAAUCCCCAGCCCCCACAUAAAGUCUAGGCAUGGCAGAGUCCAUUUAUAACCCAAGUGCUAUGGAAUGGAGACCACUGAAUCCCAGGAUUUCCUUGACCAGACAAGCCUAUCUAGUUAGUGUACUCUGGGUCCACUGAGAGACCGUGUCUUUAAAAAAAUAAAAAGUAAAAAUGUAAAGCAAUUGAGGAAGAGACCUGAUAGCCUAUAGCCUCCAUACCCACACCUACACUCAUGUGAGUAUGUUCGUGCAUGUGCGUGCACACACACACACACACACACACACACACACACACACACACACACAGCUACCUGGCCAGAUUCCAUGGUCAUGAUGCUCGAGGCUCCAGUAGAGAUUCCAAUCCUGGUUCUUAAUACUUCUCAAAUGUCCACAGUGGGAAUAGCCCAGUGAAUGCAGCAGAGCUGACCUGCAGCCCCAGAAAUGCUUCCUGAAGCAGAGAGGUGCUGAGGGGGCACCAGGGAAGCAUGCAAACAGAGAGAUUAAAUAAACAAUUUACACAGUGCUCUGUUAGAGCUCUAAAUCAGGUAGCCUGAAGCCCUGCUUGAGGCCUCUGACUCCAGAACACAGCCCUGCUGUGUAAAGGGUGCUCCAUCAACUGACAGUGAGGGAGGAGUAGAGUCCUAGGCAGGUAAAGGCCUUAAGGGAAGCCCCAGACAGGGGCCUUUUGGAAAUCAUUCCAGUCUACUCCUAACUUCCCAAGGCAGGUUAGAAAGGGGAGGAGUUUGGCCUUAAGAGAGGUGGGCAGGCAAGUGGCCCAAGAUAGGGAAAUUGUGUGACAUCAGUGUCCUCUCCAUCCACAACUGGAGGGGGAGGAGGGGAAUCCAGCCCGAAGACAUGGGAGCACCUGCCUGUCCAUCACCUGGGUGAGUGCCAGGCCUCACCUCCCAGCCAGAGACCAGGCUCCUAAUUAAUACCAACAGUCCAUCUCCACCAGAAGGCUGCAGGGCAGAGCAAGCAGCAGAGCCAGUGUGUGAGACCCAGCCUGCUAAAGACCCUCAAAUACCAAGGCCCACCUCCACAGACUUUCUCUCCUUUCCUGUUCGAUGUUCUCCAUGGCGGCCUCCAAAGCCAAUAGAAGCCUAAAGACCUACUGAAGGUGAUGCGCCCCUGAUGGUAGGAAGGAUACAGAGUUUUCAGGUAGCCAGCCUCCAGGAUGGGCCCUGCACCUACUAGAACUGAUGAUCCCCUAUCUACAGUCUUCACCCACGGAGCUUUUGUAAGUGAAAGAAGGUCCGAGUGACUUCCAAGGGUCAUUCACAUGAGACAUGGCCGCUUUAAUCCCGAGUCUCUGGAUCAGUGGUUGUGGGAGAAACCAGCCACCAUGUUGUGAGGAUACUCAAGCUGCCUGGAGAGUAUGAUCUAUGAACUGAGUCCUUCUGCCAAAGCCAGCACUAACUUGCCAGCUGUGUAAAUCCCAUCUCAGGUAAAUCCUGAGGCUCAGUCAAGCCUCAGGGAAUUGAAGCCCACAGGACACCUGGACCCCAAACACUUGGAAUGGCCCAGUUACUUUUGAUGGACACCAUGCUGAGUGACUCUCAGUCUUGCUUUGAAGACCAGUUCCAACACAGGUCAUUGAGGAAAAUGCUGGAUGUGCCACACAGGUAGAUGGUGUGGUGCCCAGAUGCAGCCAGGCACACAGCCACCUCCAGUAAUCACAAUGGCGGGAAGCCUGUGGGUGAUGGGUUCUGGCUUACUAUUCCUUUUGUGUCAUUUUGUGCCAGUGGGAGUUGAACCCAGGGCUAUGUGCAUGGUAGGCCAACGCUCUGACACUGGCGUACAUCUCCAGUCUUUAACCAUUGCUUUAAACUGCGAUGCUUUGGGGGAUAAAUUGUUAUACAGUGAUAGUUGACCUUAGCAGAUGCAAGCUCUGUCCUUUAAAUCCUGCUUUUGGAGCGGAGGUUCUCAACCUGUGGGUCACAACCGCUUUGGGGGUCCCAUAAAUUAGAUAUCCUGCAUAUUAGAAAUUUACAUUAUUGUUCAUAACCGCAGCAAAAUUACAGUUAUGAAGAAGCAACAUGGUUGGGGGUCACUACAACAUGAGGAAGUGUAUUAAAGGGUCAUAGCAUUAAGAGGGUUGAGAACCACUGUUUUAGAAGAAAGGAAACCGUGGGUAGAUGGCCAUGAUAAGCAAGGUGUGGUCAGAAACCAGUGCCCCCUAGCUUUCUGCAGGAGGCAGAUUGGCUCUGUUGUCACUGCUUGCAGAGACCUGGGAGGUGAGAAACCGUCCUGAAAAGCAGACUCCAUGCAAAGGGUUGUGCUUAAGCCAAGGGUGGGGGGUGGGGUGUGAUCCCCAGGAUCUGUGGCAAGAAAGAAUGAGUUAAAGUGCUUGCCCACCUCUGAUGGGCACAGUAGAACAUGGGGCCUAGGUAGGCUGGCACACGGAUUUACAAAGACCCAGGGCACCUGCUUUACUGUGUUUUUUAAGAGGAGGAAAUGGGCUCUUUUGCUCUCCUAACGGCCCGGCUGCUCUCUGAUUUUCACAGGUAAUGGGGCAGGAAAUUGCCCACAGUGAAUGAGCGAGACCUGUUACCUGUGGGUGGAAAUGGGUAAUGAGAAUUUAAACCCAAGCACAUCACCGGAUCACAUUAGGGAGCCAGCUAGCAAAAAUGAUUAGGAGGGUUUUAAUAUGCGCCGUUUGGAUGGAUAUCCAUCCCUGCAGCGACCUCAGGCUCAUUAGCCUAGCGUCCUGCACAGGCAAUCAGUCAUUUGUGCUUGCGGAGUGGCCUCCAUCCCAGAACUCUCGAGGGGUGCCCAGGACCUGGAUAUUGGAAAAAAAUCAAAUACUAUUUGGCAUGGUGCAUUCAGGUGACCUUAAGUAUGACUCAGAUGACCUGCAGACCUGUCUGUGCGACCAGGUUUAACCUUCCCACCUUUCUGAGAAAAUGAGCCUAGUGCUAAGUCACUAGUCACUAUAUCUGCCCAUUUCUCUUUCUUGACUAUUAAGAGUUAGUGCAUCCUCAAGGAUAAAACACUGAACCCACAAUCAGAGCUCCAGGGUCCUGCAGCAGGCCCGCUGCCUGUGAACAGGUUCUCUAGGCAUGUCUCUUGUGUAGAGGUCUCCUCUGGACAAGUUCUCUUCUGGUCCUUGGUUACUCAUUCCCUGUGAAAUGUCCCCACAUGUUUCAGAGUGAGAUCCUUUGUGCUGUCAACUUGACAAAAUCUAGAAUCCCCUGAGAGCCAGACCUCUGAGCAUGUCUAUGGGGGAUUUUCUUGACUGUGUUAAGUGGGAAGAUCACCCACCGUGGGUAGCGCCAACCCCUGGCUAGGAUUCUGGGCUGUGCAAUAGGUACGUAUUCAUCUCUCUCUGCUUCCUGUUUGGAAAUGUGUGACCAGCUGCUUCAGGCUUCUGCAAGCUUGACUCCAUUCUUGACCUAUGAGCUAAAAUAAACCCGUUCUUAAGUUGCUUUGUCA